rnacentral:rRNA from 1 species
GUCUACGGCCAUGCCACCCUGAAUAAGCCCGAUCCCAUCUGAUCUUGGAAGCUAAGCAGGUUUGGAUGGGAGACCACCUAGGAAGACCAGAUGCUAUAGGGA